rnacentral:lncRNA from 1 species
AUGACGUGAACCUGGGAGGCAGAGCUUGCAGUGAGCAGAGAUUGCACCACUGCGCUCCAGCCUGGGCGACAGAGCGAGACUCCGUCUCAAAAAAAAAAGGUCUUGGAGGGAAAGAGUUCCAAGCAGAAGAAACAGUAAGUGCAAACAUUGUGAGGCAGGAGAGAGUAAGCACAGAGGAGAGCAGUGAGAGAACCAGAGAGAACAGGGACAUGGACCACAUGGUCCUUUGGAAUGAAUGUGGCUGACAGAGUGAGACGGGAGGGAAAAGAUGGGAUCUGACUUACUUUUUGAAAGGAUUACUCUGGAAGCUGUGUGCAGAAGAGUCUGAAGGCAGGGUUGGAACUUACUGGGAAAUGACGAGAACAGGGAGAGCCAGCUAGGAGACUCACCGGACUCCAGCCAAGAGCCAAAGGAAUCUGAAGAGAAGAUGGCAAAAGAGUCUGAGAGGCAGUGGCCAGAAGGAGAAGGAAAGCAGGUGGAUGUGAAGAAAGUGUUCAACGUGGAGGGAGGAACCAGCCAUGUCAAAUGAUGCUGACAGCCAGGCAAGAUGAGG